UACGUAGGGGGCAAGCGUUGUCCGGAAUCAUGGGGCGUAAAGAGCGUGUAGGCGGCCCGGUAAGUCCGCUGUGAAAGUCGGGGGCUCAACCCUCGAAUGCCGGCGGAUACUGUCGGGCUAGAGUCCGGAAGAGGCGAGUGGAAUUCCUGGUGUAGCGGUGAAAUGCGCAGAUAUCAGGAGGAACACCAACGGCGAAGGCAGCCCGCUGGGACGGUACUGACGCUGAGACGCGAAAGCGUGGGGAGCAAACAGG
rnacentral:rRNA from 1 species